rnacentral:sRNA from 1 species
GGAUGUGAAAAUGAACUGGCUGCAACAUCUACUAUCCUAUUGGUUGCCAGAGUUGAUUCGGCUGAUCUGGCUGGUUAGACGGGUGCCCCCUCCCUCCCUCACAGCUCCACGUACAUCCAUCCCAAAGCUGCAUGCUCAGUGGAAAAGGAUGAGCAUCCCAAACAGAAGGACUGUACCAUUCUUCAGUUAAGGGUGAAGGAGGCUUUCUAUUUUCUGCUGUGGUAUAUUUUCGCUACUUCAUGAUACUCUGCCCUGGAGGAUCAUUUUGAAUUCAUUAUGUAGGAUUGUGUUAACAAACAUAUGUUAUUUGUUUAACA